AGUGUAACUUAGUCAUUUAAGACAUAAAGAAAGGUAUAACUAAAAAUGGACAAGAAGAGAGGGUAUUCUUGAAAGGAACGUUUUUGGAUAGAAUUAACUGAAUUUGUAUAAUAUUUCCAAAUAUUCUU
rnacentral:sRNA from 1 species